GACGUAGGGCGCGAGCGUUGUCCGGAUUUAUUGGGCGUAAAGAGCUCGUAGGCGGCUCGUCGCGUCGACCGUGAAAACAGGCAGCUCAACUGUGUGCUUGCGGUCGAUACGGGCGGGCUAGAGUUCGGUAGGGGAGACUGGAAUUCCUGGUGUAGCGGUGAAAUGCGCAGAUAUCAGGAGGAACACCGGUGGCGAAGGCGGGUCUCUGGGCCGAUACUGACGCUGAGGAGCGAAAGCGUGGGGAGCGAACAGGAUUAGAUACCCUGGUAGUCCACGCUGUAAACGUUGGGCGCUAGGUGUGGGGGGUCUCUCCGAUCUCCUGUGCCGUAGCUAACGCAUUAAGCGCCCCGCCUGGGGAGUACGGCCGCAAGGCUAAA
rnacentral:rRNA from 1 species